AAAGAAGUUCGUCAGAAUGGCAGGCGAGUCACCUUGUGUGCUAGAUUGCUAGUCUACCAAGAUCGGAGCUCAUUCCCAUCUCCUUUGUGUUUUAGUGUUUUUUUUUUAAAUAAUAAUAAAAAAAUAGAAAUAUAAACGACAAGUGCUACCCCUUCAAAACGACAGGUCUUCCGAAAAUUCAGAGGGGGCAUUUUGGUCAGUCCAUGUACAUAAAUCGCCAAACCCAUCAAGGAAAGUGAGAAAAGCAGGGUUUUCGAUGAUGAGAAAUCAUUUUGUUUCAGUUUCUCAGCGACCAAACAGGGUCGGUCGGUCUAAGUGGAAGCAAUGCAAUCUCUGUACGGAAGUUUAAUUUGAAGACUAAACCUAAACACGUCUCAUUUCAAAUCCACUUUAGCUUAUUUACCUUUAAAAUUCAUGGAUUAAGCCUUUUCAACUAUGAUUCUUCAUACACUACCUUUUCGCUCAUUUCAUCACUUGGCUCCAAAAUAUGGUGAAAUUGAGUGGGGUUGGCCGAAUUUGAGUGGUUGAAUUUGUCUGAUCGGGCAGAAAAAGGAGCGAAGAAUUUCCCACAUCGUAGGAAGAGCUUGACAGUAUUGGCAGAAAAUUCUUCGGAAGGUUUGUCAGCGCCUACUGUUGAUGUUCCUUCGCGCAUCAAAUUCAAGAGACUCGAUAAAACUGCCAGGCACAUAAUGCAGCUAUGCAUAUGCAUAUAUAUAUAUAUAUAUAUAUAUAUAUAUAUAUAUAUAUAUUGAUCUGUUUCUGUUUCGCAUGCAGACACGUUAUGUGUUUGAAUAUCAAUGAAGUUAAAUAAAGUUCUAUAUAUUUUCUGAAGAACAUAAAA